rnacentral:rRNA from 1 species
GGCUAGAGUUUGAUCAUGGCUCAGGAUGAACGCUGGCGGCGUGCCUAACACAUGCAAGUCGAGCGAAGCACUUUACUUUGAGAUCUUCGGAAGGAUAAGUUUAGUGACUGAGUGGCGGACGGGUGAGUAACGCGUGGGUAACCUGCCUCAUACAAGGGGAUAACAGUUAGAAAUGACUGCUAAUACCGCAUAAGACCACAGCACCGCAUGGUGCAGGGGUAAAAACUCCGGUGGUAUGAGAUGGACCCGCGUCUGAUUAGCUAGUUGGUAAGGUAACGGCUUACCAAGGCAACGAUCAGUAGCCGACCUGAGAGGGUGACCGGCCACAUUGGGACUGAGACACGGCCCAAACUCCUACGGGAGGCAGCAGUGGGGAAUAUUGCACAAUGGGGGAAACCCUGAUGCAGCGACGCCGCGUGAGCGAAGAAGUAUUUCGGUAUGUAAAGCUCUAUCAGCAGGGAAGAAACUGACGGUACCUGACUAAGAAGCACCGGCUAAAUACGUGCCAGCAGUCGCGGUAAUACGUAUGGUGCAAGCGUUAUCCGGAUUUACUGGGUGUAAAGGGAGCGUAGACGGAUAGGCAAGUCUGGAGUGAAAGCCCGGGGCUCAACCCCGGGACUGCUUUGGAACUGUUUAUCUAGAGUGCUGGAGAGGUAAGUG